rnacentral:lncRNA from 1 species
AAUUUGUGUGUCCUGCAUCUGCCCUUGAAAAGCUCCAUCUGGCUCGGUGAAGAAGAUGAAGGUCUUGAGAGUUUGUCUUCAUUCCUGAAGGGGGGAAAAAUUAGCAGGAGGAGAUCAGAGAAGAUAAGCGAGGAGCAAGCAGCUUCCCCGAGACCUUUCACUGCGGAUCCGAGAGGGAACAUCAGACGCGUAAAAAAAGAAAAACAAAAAACAAAAACAAAAACCAAAAAGCCAAACAAAACAAAAAACCCAAACAAAACAAAACACAGCGUUCAAGCCAGCACAAGGCGAGCGAAAGAUCAAAAAGACUCAGAGGGAGACAGAUUAACUGGAGCGGCAGCAGCAGCAACAACAACAAAAAUCACACUUAAAAUAAUAAUAACAAUAAUAAUAAUAAAACCCAAACCACCAACAAGGGAGAUAUUGUUUAAAAGAGCAAGCGAGGGAGCGAGCCGAAGAGCUGGUCUGACCGAGUGGAUCCGUGCAGCUUCUCCUGGGAUCGCCGGGAUCGCGCCGCUUCUCCGCUCCGCGUCGCGCAGCGUGCGGUGCCCUGCCCGCGGCGGGGGUCCCCGGGCGCCGCCACCGCAUCCGCGCCGGACUCCGGACCCUCCGCGCUGCUUUGAAAAUAAAAGCAUCUCGCUAAUAAUAAGCGGGACGGUGGGGGAAGAAGACUCGCAACAGUGGAGCUGCCAGCCGCGCACCCCCUGCCCGCCGCCCCCGGCUCCCUCCCCAGCUAUGCUCCGGGUCAACUUUGAUGGCACGUUGAGAAGCAGCGGGCGCUGAAGGGGGACAACCGAGCGGCGCGGAGCCGACCUGCUCAGAGACCUGCACCCACGGAUUGUCUUGCGGGGGCGGAGUGGGCGGGGGGGUACAAGUGGCAUUUCUCCCCCCCCCCUCCUUCCAGGCUAUAAAUUGGAUUGUAUAUAAAUCUGCUUCGUUUAUCUCCCUGACCCCCCUCAAUGACGCUGGACUAGAGAGCUCCUCUCCGCGGCCCGCCCGGACCUGCCGAAGCGAGCGAUGGACCACGAGCGACUGCGCCCGGGGAUGCCCCUCUGAAGCGACGCGGGGCACCGGGGCAGAGCGGCGCCGCCUCUCCCCUGCUCCCCGGAUCCCCUCGCACCUCCGGCUCGCUCCCCGCUCCCCCUCCCUCCUCCCCGGGCUCCGCAGCCACCCCCUCACCUGCUGCCGUCCCCCUCCCCCGUGGAGCCGGGCUCUCUCCGUGCACGCCAAGCCUGUUCCCCCCCCCGCCGCCAACUUCGCCCUCGGUGCCUGCGCGUGCAGCCUCCCCCUCCGCCUCCCCGGCGGCACACGCCGCUUCCCGGGCGCCCCCUCCCUCCGCCGCGGCUCCCCCCCUGCGCGGAGCGGUUGCGGCCCCCCAGCUUGGCUGCCACCGCCCCCUCCGCGCCGCGGAGCGCUCGGAGCGGCGCUGCCUGCAGACGGGCUCCCUGCGGCGCUCCGGGGCGGCCCCCAGCU